CAAGGGCUGAACAUCUGCUAGGUUUCAGAGCAUCGCUGUUGGAACCAGUGAACCCGGCACACCCAAGGAGAGGGAGGAAAGGUAGAAGAAGUUAACUGUAGGUUGCCCACAAGCAUGUAGACCCCAGACCAUUUGGAACCAGAAGGCUGAUAAUGCCGACUCCCGAUUACCUCAUCACCAACCAAUCAGAAGAAUGUCCACGAGCUGACCACUCCCUGCUCCUUGAACACUGCACCAGUGAACAGAGGCCGAAUUUCAGCAACGCAAUGAAUGGGUUGAAAGGUGACCUCUAAAUCUCCUUCCAGUUCUGACAUUCAACGGGUUUAAACCAGGCAAGACUCCAGCCUCCACGACCUUCCCAGGAUUCCUGAGGGCAGAUUCGAAAAGUUGCUAAUCAAGGGAGGGGCAGCCAAGAAACCACCUGAGGCAAGAUUAAAGGGACCAGAGAAACUCAUCGAGAUUAGCAGACCUGACCACCUGAGAUGAGAUUAGGGAUGUGCAAACCCUGCUCAUGCCCUAAUCUUGUCAGAGACCCCACCUUUGAACCAUUGUCAUAAAACCCUCGUCACAUCCUCUUGGGUCGGGACACAUGGUUUUUUGAGGCAGAAGUCCACUGUGUCUCCCUUUGCCUGGCAAAGCAAUAAAGCUAUCCUUCGCUACUUCACCCAAAACUCUGUCUGGGACUUCCCUGGCUGUCCAGUGGUUAAGAUGCUGUGCUUCUAAUGCAGGGGGCGCAGCUUCCAUCCCUGGUUGGGGAACUAAGAUCUCACAGGCCAUGCAGCGCGGCCAAAAAACAAACAAACAAACAAACAGAAGAAAACUGUCUCCAAGAUUUGAUUUGGCACCGGUGUACAAAGAGGCAGAGCUUUCGGUAACAUCAGAGUCCUUUAAUAGAGGGUAAGUUGGACAAAUCCACAUGAGACAAUGUUAUGCAGCCAUCAAAAAGUAUGUUAUAAAAGACAGAAUUAUAGACGAAGUAAGAUCAGUGGUUGUCAGGGCUUGGAGAAGGGGGAUGAGUAGGGGAAAUACGUAGCAUUAUUAGGCCCGUGUCUCUACGAUACUGUAAUGGUGAAUACAUGACAUGGAUUUGUCAAAAUCCAUAGAACUGUACAAAGAAUAAACCUUAAUGUAAACUAUGGACUUUAGCCAGUAAUAGUGCUUCAAUACUGAUUAACUAAUUGUAACAGAUGUACCACGCUAAUGCAGUGUGUUAAUAUUGAUAGUAGGGGAGGGCUUCCC